AGUCGACUUUUGUAUCUGGUUUGCAUAAAAGAUUGGAUGAGGGGAACAUCAAGAUGUUUUCAUGCGAUAGCUGUUAAUUUAAAGAACUCCGUGCAGGAAGUUUGACGACAUACAAUUAUCUGACUGUUGUCCCUCAGUUUCGGGUAUUCAGUGUACACGUUCUAGAAUGCAGUCGUUCAUCUGUAGCGCUUGUAUAUUUUGUUGCAACAAAACAUUUUAGAAAGAUAAAAAAUUACUCAAGUUUGAAUCAGAUGAGCGCAUUAAAAA
rnacentral:lncRNA from 1 species